rnacentral:rRNA from 1 species
AUUGAACGCUGGCGGCGUGCCUAACACAUGCAAGUCGAGCGGUAACAGGUGUAGCAAUACAUGCUGACGAGCGGCGAACGGGUGAGUAAUGCUUCGGAAUCUACCCAAUGGUGGGGAAUAACCAGCCGAAAGGUUGGCUAAUACCGCAUACGUCCCACGGGAGAAAGCAGGGGAUCGCAAGACCUUGCGCCAAUGGAUGAGCCGAAGUCGGAUUAGCUAGUUGGAGGGUAACGGCCUACCAAGGCGACGAUCCGUAGCUGGUCUGAGAGGACGACCAGCCACACUGGGACUGAGACACGGCCCAGACUCCGUACGGGAGGCAGCAGUGGGGAAUAUUGGACAAUGGGGGAAACCCUGAUCCAGCGACGCCGCGUGUGUGAAGAAGGCCUGGCGGGUU